rnacentral:rRNA from 1 species
UACGGGGGGAGCAAGCGUUGUUCGGAUUUACUGGGCGUAAAGGGCGCGUAGGCGGCCACCGCAAGUCGACUGUGAAAUCUCCGGGCUUAACCCGGAAAGGUCAGCCGAUACUGCGGGGCUAGAGUGCAGAAGGGGCAACUGGAAUUCUCGGUGUAGCGGUGAAACGCGUAGAUAUCGAGAGGAACACCUGCGGCGAAGGCGGGUUGCUGGGCUGACACUGACGCUGAUGCGCGAAAGCUAGGGGAGCGAACGGG